AUACGGAGGGUGCGAGCGUUAAUCGGAAUUACUGGGCGUAAAGGGUGCGUAGGCGGCUUGAUAAGUCGGAUGUGAAAGCCCCGGGCUUAACCUGGGCAUUGCAUUCGAUACUGUCAGGCUAGAGUAUGUCAGAGGUUGGCGGAAUUCCUGGUGUAGCGGUGAAAUGCGUAGAUAUCAGGAGGAACACCAGUGGCGAAGGCGACUCCCUGGACUCGAACUGACGCUGAGGUACGAAAGCGUGGGUAGCGAACAGGAUUAGAAACCCUAGUAGUCC
rnacentral:rRNA from 1 species